rnacentral:sRNA from 1 species
UGCUUGUCUCUUCUAGCCCUAAGUUCUUCCAUGUUCUGCCCUGACCUUAUCCUACCUACCUGUCUUAGCUCUUCCACUGGCUUUGUAGGUGAGGGAAAAUUUUUGCAAGGCUUUAAAAGCCUUAGUCCUGGGUCAUGGUGGCUCAGUGAAGGACUAGAUUAUUUUCUCUCUGUCCCAGGAGACCAGUAUGAUGUCUGUGCCAUCUGCCUGGAUGAAUAUGAGGAUGGGGACAAGCUGCGGGUACUCCCCUGUGCUCAUGGUGAGGCCCUCACUGCCUGCCCAUGCCCCUCUGCCACCAGCAGCCACCAGGUGCUUCACCUUGUUCCUCUCUGCAGCCUACCACAGCCGCUGCGUGGACCCCUGGCUCACUCAGACCCGGAAGACCUGCCCCAUUUGCAAGCAGCCCGUUCAUCGGGGUCCUGGGGACGAAGAGCAAGAGGAAGAAACUCAGGGGCAAGAGGAGGGUGAUGAAGAAGGGGAGCCAAGGGACCACCCUGCCUCAGAAAGGACCCCACUUUU